AGAAACACUAAAAAGCUAUUGACAUCGUCUAAGCAAUUGUUUGUUGGUUUUAGCCUCUGUUGAGAGAAAAUGGGUAUACUGUUGUCUAAACUCUCCUAAUCCAUCUUUAACUCUUACAAUUAGUCAAAUACAUUGAAUUGUGAAAUAGUUUGACCAUAAAAACCCUAACAAAGCUGUUUACAGCUUCUAAGAAAUUUUUGUGGGUUCGAGCCUCUUUUGAGAGAAAAUGGGUAUAAGUGGUGUGCAAACACUCCUAAUCCAUCUUUAACUCUUAUAAUUAGUCAAAUGCAUUAGAUUGUGACACAUUUUAACAAUAGAAACACUAAGAAAGCUAUUGACAGCGUCUAAGCAAUUUUUUGUCGGUUUUAGCCUCUUUUGAGAGAAAAUGGGUAUACGUGUUAUCUAAACACUCCUAAUCCAUCUCUAACUCUUAUAAUUAGUCAAAUGCAUUGGAUUAUGAUACAUUUUGACCAUGUAAACACUAACAAAUCUAUUGACUGCUUCUAAGCAAGUUUUGUUGGUUUUAGCCUCUUUUGGGAGAAAAUGGGUAUAAGUGUUGUCUAAACACUCGUAAUCCAUCUCUAACUCUUAUAAUUAGUCAAAUGCAUUGGAUUCUGACACAUUUUAACAAUAGAAACACUUAGAAAGCUAUUGACAGCAUCUAACCAAUUUUUUGUUUGUUUUAGCCUCUUUUGAGAGAAAAUGGGUAUAAGUGUUGUCUAAACACUCAUAAUCCAUCUCUAACUCUUAUAAUUAGUCAAAUGCAUAGGAUUGUGAUACAUUUUGACCAUAUAAACACUAAGAAAGCUAUUGACAGCGUCUAAGCAAUUUUUUUGUUGGUUUUAGCCUCUUUUGAGAGAAAAUGGGUAUAAGUGUUGUCUAAACACUCCUAAUCCAUCUCGAACUCUAAUAAUUAGUCAAAUGCAUUGGAUUGUGAUACCUUUUGAUAAUAAAAACACUAACAAAGUU
rnacentral:sRNA from 1 species